UACGUAGGGGGCUAGCGUUGUCCGGAAUCAUUGGGCGUAAAGCGCGCGUAGGCGGCCCUGUUAGUCCGCUGUAAAAGUCCAGGGCUCAACCCUGGGAUGCCGGUGGAUACUGUCGAGCUUGAGUCCGGAAGAGGCGAGUGGAAUUCCUGGUGUAGCGGUGAAAUGCGCAGAUAUCAGGAGGAACACCUAUGGCGAAGGCAGCUCGCUGGGACGUGACUGACGCUGAGACGCGAAAGCGUGGGGAGCAAACAGG
rnacentral:rRNA from 1 species